AGAGUUUGAUCCUGGCUCAGAGUGAACGCUGGCGGCAGGCCUAACACAUGCAAGUCGAGCGGCAGCGGGUCGUAGCAAUACGAUGCCGGCGAGCGGCGGACGGGUGAGGAAUACAUCGGAAUCUACCCAGUCGUGGGGGAUAACGUAGGGAAACUUACGCUAAUACCGCAUACGACCUGAGGGUGAAAGCAGGGGACCGCAAGGCCUUGCGCGAUUGGAUGAGCCGAUGUCGGAUUAGCUAGUUGGUGAGGUAAAGGCUCACCAAGGCGACGAUCCGUAGCUGGUCUGAGAGGAUGAUUAGCCACACUGGAACUGAGACACGGUCCAGACUCCUACGGGAGGCAGCAGUGGGGAAUAUUGGACAAUGGGCGCAAGCCUGAUCCAGCCAUGCCGCGUGUGUGAAGAAGGCCUUCGGGUUGUAAAGCACUUUUGUCCGGGAAGAAAUCUUCCGACCUAAUACGUCGGGAGGAUGACGGUACCGGAAGAAUAAGCACCGGCUAACUUCGUGCCAGCAGCCGCGGUAAUACGAAGGGUGCAAGCGUUACUCGGAAUUACUGGGCGUAAAGCGUGCGUAGGUGGUUCGUUAAGUCUGCCGUGAAAGCCCCGGGCUCAACCUGGGAAUGGCGGUGGAUACUGGCGGACUAGAGUGCGGUAGAGGGUGGUGGAAUUCCCGGUGUAGCAGUGAAAUGCGUAGAUAUCGGGAGGAACAUCUGUGGCGAAGGCGGCUACCUGGACCAGCACUGACACUGAGGCACGAAAGCGUGGGGGAGCAAACAGGAUUAGAUACCCUGGUAGUCCAC
rnacentral:rRNA from 1 species